rnacentral:rRNA from 1 species
UACGUAGGGCGCAAGCGUUGUCCGGAAUUAUUGGGCGUAAAGAGCUCGUAGGCGGCCUGUUACGUCUGCUGUGAAAUCCCGGGGCUUAACCCCGAGCCUGCAGUGGAUACGGGCAGACUAGAGGUAGGUAGGGGAGAAUGGAAUUCCCGGUGUAGCGGUGAAAUGCGCAGAUAUCGGGAGGAACACCCGUGGCUAAGGCGGCUCUCUAGUACGGUACUGACGCUGAGGAGCGAAAGCGUGGGGAGCGAACAGG